rnacentral:rRNA from 1 species
GACGAACGCUGGCGGCGUGCUUAACACAUGCAAGUCGAACGGAAAGGCCCUGCUUUUGUGGGGUGCUCGAGUGGCGAACGGGUGAGUAACACGUGAGUAACCUGCCCUUGACUUUGGGAUAACUUCAGGAAACUGGGGCUAAUACCGGAUAGGAGCUCCUGCUGCAUGGUGGGGGUUGGAAAGUUUCGGCGGUUGGGGAUGGACUCGCGGCUUAUCAGCUUGUUGGUGGGGUAGUGGCUUACCAAGGCUUUGACGGGUAGCCGGCCUGGGAGGGUGACCGGCCACAUUGGGACUGAGAUACGGCCCAGACUCCUACGGGAGGCAGCAGUGGGGAAUAUUGCACAAUGGGCGGAAGCCUGAUGCAGCAACGCCGCGUGCGGGAUGACGGCCUUCGGGUUGUAAACCGCAUUCGCCUGUGACGAAGCGUGAGUGACGGUAAUGGGUAAAGAAGCACCGGCUAACUACGUG